rnacentral:rRNA from 1 species
GACGAACGCUGGCGGCGUGCUUAACACAUGCCAGUCGAACGGAAAGGCCCUGCUUUUGUGGGGUGCUCGAGUGGCGAACGGGUGAGUAACACGUGAGUAACCUGCCCUUGACUUUGGGAUAACUUCAGGAAACUGGGGCUAAUACCGGAUAGGAGCUCCUGCUGCAUGGUGGGGGUUGGAAAGUUUCGGCGGUUGGGGAUGGACUCGCGGCUUAUCAGCUUGUUGGUGGGGUAGUGGCUUACCAAGGCUUUGACGGGUAGCCGGCCUGAGAGGGUGACCGGCCACAUUGGGACUGAGAUACGGCCCAGACUCCUACGGGAGGCAGCAGUGGGGAAUAUUGCACAAUGGGCGGAAGCCUGAUGCAGCAACGCCGCGUGCGGGAUGACGGCCUUCGGGUUGUAAACCGCUUUCGCCUGUGACGAAGCGUGAGUGACGGUAAUGGAUAAAGAAGCACCGGCUAACUACGUG